GUGCUAGCUUCAGCAGCACAUAUACUAUAAUAGGAGCAAUACAGAGAAGGUUAACAGGGCCGUGGUGCAAGCAUGACGUGCAAAUUGGUGAAGUGUUCCAUAGUUUU